rnacentral:lncRNA from 1 species
AGGGUGGGAGUUCCAAGCUCACCGAGAGCGGCAGUGCUCAGGACAGGGUUGAGUGGAGCGAGCAGGUUCACGAGCGUCCUCACUACCUGGUCCAGGAUGGAGGAGGCGAGGGCCUGGCGACGAUCGAAGAGGGAGCGGGGCCGGCGGCGCCGCACGUAGACCUGCUCCUGCAAGAUGCAGUCGCACACGGCGGCGCGCAGGGCGGCGAGGUCGAGCGAGGGCGGCGGCGGCGACAGCGCCGGGGCGGGCGGCAGGCCCGAGACAAACACGGUCUUGGUGAAGCUCUGGUACCAGCGGUCGGCGUUCAAGGCGGAGAUCUGCGGAUGCACCACGUACUUCUUGAACUGCAUCUUGGUGAGAAUCCGUAUCUUCUCGUCCACCGAGGGGGCCGCGUGCACCGUCGCCUGCCAGCGCUGCACCCGCCGCUGCCGCGCCGCUUUGCUGUCGGCGGUCAUGGAAGCCACGAUCGGCGGGUACCGCGCGACGGGCGUCGCCACGACCUCCAGGUCUCUCACCUCCGGGGCCGUAGCGGACGCCUUAGCAGCGGCAUUCUGGGACAAUCCCCGGCCGCGGGGCACCAGCUUCCAAUACCUGGCCGCCGCCAUUUUCGCCCGCCGCGACCCGGAACUUGAGGUCAACUGGCAGGAAUUGUUCCUCUUCGCUUGCCGUAGGGACCAAUCGCUUCUUGGAGGCGGGUGCUCUGAGUGUCUGUGGUGCGUUGUGUCAUCCAGUUUGCAACCAAUCAGUAUGCUCCUUGAAGUUUGUUGUAUUCUUUUUGAGUAUUUGUCUGCGAUAAAAAUUCGCUUACCCCAGAUAUUUUCCCACCGGUUAUGCUCUGAAGAAUGAAACAAUUAAAGUCCUUGCUCGUAGGAUGUUUUAGGAACUCGCACUUUUUUUCACACGCAAACAUUCAGAAAUAUCCUCCAGCCGGGCGGUGGUGGCGCACGCCUUUAAUCCCAGCAUUUGGGAGGCAGAGGCAGGUGUAUUUCUGAGUUCGAGACCAGGCUGGUCUACAGAGUGAGUUCCAGGACAGCCAGGGCUAUACAGAGAAACCCUGUCUCCAAAACAAAACAAAACAAACAAACAAACAAAGAAAUAUCUUCCAAAGAGAAACUUAAAAUCCAUACAGUUCUGACGUCAUUUGUGUACCUCAUAUAGUCUGUUACCCUCCAUCACCUUUAGAACUAGAAUUUUAUGAAAUACAACAUGUCUUUACUUAUUCUUGCUAAUUAUAAAAAUUAUAUCAGCAUCACUUACCUGUGAACGCGACUAAACUUUAGGAAAACUAUUUCAUACAUUCUUCAGUGCUAAUGAGGUAAUAUAAUUUAUUUUGAAACGGGGAAAUGUGUUUUUAGUUGAAUAUACAAGACGUCGGGGAAUACAUGAAAUAAAUCAUACUAAGCAAUUUGUUUGAAUUUUGCUGUGUAUUAAACUCUUUACUAGUUUGAAAUGAACUGAUUCUUUACAAUAAACUUAAUAAAGAAGCUAUUACUU